AUUAUAUUAGUUUAAUUAAAAUUUUAUUUUGUGAAAGUAAAGAUCUGUUCUGAUAUAAUA
rnacentral:tRNA from 1 species